rnacentral:rRNA from 1 species
GACGAACGCUGGCGGCGUGCCUAAUACAUGCAAGUAGAACGCACAGUUUAUACCGUAGCUUGCUACACCAUAAACUGUGAGUUGCGAACGGGUGAGUAACGCGUAGGUAACCUGCCUGGUAGCGGGGGAUAACUAUUGGAAACGAUAGCUAAUACCGCAUAAUAUUAAUUAUUGCAUGAUAAUUGAUUGAAAGAUGCAAUUGCAUCACUACCAGAUGGACCUGCGUUGUAUUAGCUAGUAGGUGAGGUAACGGCUCACCUAGGCGACGAUACAUAGCCGACCUGGGAGGGUGAUCGGCCACACUGGGACUGAGACACGGCCCAGACUCCUACGGGAGGCAGCAGUAGGGAAUCUUCGGCAAUGGACGAAAGUCUGACCGAGCAACGCCGCGUGAGUGAAGAAGGUUUUCGGAUCGUAAAGCUCUGUUGUAAGAGAAGAACGGGUGUGAGAGUGGAAAGUUCACACUGUGACGGUAUCUUACCAGAAAGAGACGGCUAACUACGUG